rnacentral:rRNA from 1 species
CCAUGAGAGUUGGGAAUACCCGAAGCCUGUGAGCCAACAGUAACUGAGGCAGCAGUCGAAGGUAGAAUCAAUGAUUGGGGUGAAGUCGUAACAAGGUAGC